AACGGCCAUACCAUGCUGAAUAUACCGGUUCUCGUUAGAUCACCGAAGUCAAGCAUCAUUGGGCGCUGCCAGUACUUGGGUGGGUGACCACCUGGGAACACCGCGUGCCGUU
rnacentral:rRNA from 1 species